AUUGAACGCUGGCGGCAGGCCUAACACAUGCAAGUCGAGCGGAUGAGCGGAGCUUGCUCCUUGAUUUAGCGGCGGACGGGUGAGUAAUGCCUAGGAAUCUGCCUGGUAGUGGGGGAUAACGUUCCGAAAGGAACGCUAAUACCGCAUACGUCCUACGGGAGAAAGCAGGGGACCUUCGGGCCUUGCGCUAUCAGAUGAGCCUAGGUCGGAUUAGCUAGUUGGUGAGGUAAUGGCUCACCAAGGCGACGAUCCGUAACUGGUCUGAGAGGAUGAUCAGUCACACUGGAACUGAGACACGGUCCAGACUCCUACGGGAGGCAGCAGUAGGGAAUAUUGGACAAUGGGCGAAAGCCUGAUCCAGCCAUGCCGCGUGUGUGAAGAAGGUCUUCGGAUUGUAAAGCACUUUAAGUUGGGAGGAAGGGCAGUAAGCUAAUACCUUGCUGUUUUGACGUUACCGACAGAAUAAGCACCGGCUAACUUCGUG
rnacentral:rRNA from 1 species